UGGAUGAGUGGCGAACGGGUGAGUAAUACGUGAGUAACCUGCCCUUGACUCUGGGAUAAGCCUGGGAAACUGGGUCUAAUACUGGAUACGACAUGCCACUGCAUGGUGGUGUGUGGAAAGGGUUUUACUGGUUUUGGAUGGGCUCACGGCCUAUCAGCUUGUUGGUGGGGUAAUGGCCUACCAAGGCGACGACGGGUAGCCGGCCUGAGAGGGUGACCGGCCACACUGGGACUGAGACACGGCCCAG
rnacentral:rRNA from 1 species